rnacentral:miRNA from 10 species
UGUGUGGUGGUCGGUCGGUCGGUCGGUCGGUCGGUCGGUCGGUCGGUCGGUCGGUCGGUCGGUCGGUCGGUGGUGUGUGUGUGU